GACGAACCGUACGAACGUUAUUCGGAAUCACUGGGCUUAAAGGGUGCGUAGGCGGCGCAGUAAGUUGGGUGUGAAAUCCCUCGGCUCAACCGAGGAACUGCGCCCAAAACUACCGUACUUGAGGAAGAUAGAGGUGAGCGGAACUUACGGUGGAGCGGUGAAAUGCGUUGAUAUCGUAAGGAACACCCGUGGCGAAAGCGGCUCACUGGGUCUUUUCUGACGCUGAUGCACGAAAGCUAGGGGAGCAAACGGG
rnacentral:rRNA from 1 species